GUCCGGAAUUAUUGGGCGUAAAGAGCUCGUAGGCGGUUUGUCGCGUCUGGUGUGAAAACUCGAGGCUCAACCUCGAGCUUGCAUCGGGUACGGGCAGACUAGAGUGCGGUAGGGGAGACUGGAAUUCCUGGUGUAGCGGUGGAAUGCGCAGAUAUCAGGAGGAACACCGAUGGCGAAGGCAGGUCUCUGGGCCGCAACUGACGCUGAGGAGCGAAAGCAUGGGGAGCGAACAGGAUUAGAUACCCUGGUAGUCCAUGCCGUAAACGUUGGGCACUAGGUGUGGGGCUCAUUCCACGAGUUCCGUGCCGCAGCAAACGCAUUAAGUGCCCCGCCUGGGGAGUACGGCCGCAAGGCUAAAACUCAAAGGAAUUGACGGGGGCCCGCACAAGCGGCGGAGCAUGCGGAUUAAUUCGAUGCAACGCGAAGAACCUUACCAAGGCUUGACAUGCACGAGAAGCCACCAGAGAUGGU
rnacentral:rRNA from 1 species